UUAAUGUUGAUCACGCUUUUUAUUCGUGACUUCAGUCGUGCUUGUUAUUCGUGGCUUUAGUCGCACUUGUUAUUCGUGGCUUCAGUUGGUCUUGA